CCUACGGGUGGCAGCAGUGGGGAAUAUUGGACAAUGGGCGAAAGCCUGAUCCAGCCAUGCCGCGUGUGUGAAGAAGUCCUUCGGGUUGUAAAGCACUUUCAGUGGGGAAGAAAGCCUUGGGGCUAAUACCCUCGAGGAAGGACAUCACCCACAGAAGAAGCACCGGCUAACUCCGUGCCAGCAGCCGCGGUAAUACGGAGGGUGCGAGCGUUAAUCGGAAUUACUGGGCGUAAAGCGCGCGUAGGCGGUCUGAUAAGCCGGUUGUGAAAGCCCCGGGCUCAACCUGGGAACGGCAUCCGGAACUGUCAGGCUAGAGUGCAGGAGAGGAAGGUAGAAUUCCCGGUGUAGCGGUGAAAUGCGUAGAGAUCGGGAGGAAUACCAGUGGCGAAGGCGGCCUUCUGGACUGACACUGACGCUGAGGUGCGAAAGCGUGGGUAGCAAACAGGAUUAGAUACCCCGGUAGUC
rnacentral:rRNA from 1 species